UAUGCGGUGGUAGUUAUAGAAUAAUGAUGAUGAUGAAAAAGAAUUAAUAAAAUUGAGCGUCCAUCGUCUUCAUCGUCCGUCGUCCUUGGUCUGCGCUGCACUGCUUUGCGCUGGUCGUGCGUCUACUCUACUCUGCUUUCCACUGGUGGUGUGUCGCUUCCGUCGCGUUCCGUCGUCGUGGAUCGCUACGCCGCUACUCGCGUCACCACACCUCGCCACACCUCGCCUUGCUGCCUGAAGUCGAUCUGCCAAAACAGGUAACAGGUUAAUUUUUUCUUUUGUUUUUUCAAAGUUAAUGAAACAGGUUUAAACAAAUGAUAAUUUUUCUAAUUUCUGAAUUGAUUUGAUAUACCUAUUUGUUUAAUUGAAUUCUGAAUUCUUUUGAUACAAUAGUUUGGGUUUACAAUAUGAAUAUAUAUAUAAGGGUUUUGUGAAUUGAUGAAUUGACAUAUGAAUUGGUUUUGUUGAUUAUGAAUUUACUUUAUUGUUGAUGGUUGUUGCUGUGAUGAAUACCAUGCUUCUUCUAACCACUGGUUCUGUUCUUGUCGAGGCUUUGCCUCAUGAUUUCUUUCGGGGUGGAGGUCGAGAUGGAGAAAGCUUAAACUAUCUUGGUCGCUUAUUGAUGAAGUUAAGAUCAGAGUUUCUUGGCGAGUCGUCAUCAUCGUGCGAACAAUUGAAAUUUUUAACACUUGUCUGAUCAAUGAACAUGAUCAAAUUGAUCUAUUUUGAGGGUUUGGGUGAGGCUGAUUGGACAUUACUGCAACUUUAGUUAGAGUCUAUGUAGUUAUUUUGUUGACAUCCUAGUUGAUAAUGAACUUGUCCAAGAAAGUAUCCCAAACGACGAUGUCAGCUCCCUGAUGAUAUAACCCAUGAUUUUAAGGUCGUGGGAGAAGAGUCCCAAGGUCUUAAUGACCUUUCUUUAGCAGGCUUAUCCAUACAUGAUGAUAUUGAAGGCUUGAUGUUUCAUUCUUCUAAAGGAAGUAGAUAUAUAUUCAAUGAGCAGGAAGAAUUAUCUCAGCAGCACAUUAAUGGCAAUAACUUCUUAAAUGACAUCUUUGCUGAGAAUGCAAUCGUGGAUGAUACUAAUUUGAACCCUUUGGAGUUCUUAGCUUCUAUGUUCUCUGGUUUUGCUGCAGAAAGCCUUGUGAUAGUGACAUUGGUUUCAAUUCGGACAUUGGUUCAGACUUUGAUUGAAGUUUUUGGUGGAAAGAGCUAACUUGUUGGGACACCUGAUGAACUCAAGUCUGCUCUUUUAGAAUUAGUUGUUAUUAAUGUUAUUAUUGAUCCUUAUGCCGGUUCAGAGAGUGGGAGGCUGCAAUACAAGAAUUGAUUUUUAGAUUUUAUGUAUUAUACUGAAACUAUGCUUUCUAUUGUUUUCAUUUUUAGAUUUCAAAUUACAUAGCCUUGUGAUUUUCUAUAAUAUACUAUGAUAUGAUAAAGACACAAACUAUAUUUCAUGAA